UACGUAGGGUGCAAGCGUUUGUCCGGAAUUAUUGGGCGUAAAGGGCUCGUAGGCGGUCUGUCACGUCGGGAGUGAAAACUCAGGGCUUAACCCUGAGCCUGCUUCCGAUACGGGCAGACUAGAGGUAUGCAGGGGAGAACGGAAUUCCUGGUGUAGCGGUGAAAUGCGCAGAUAUCAGGAGGAACACCGGUGGCGAAGGCGGGUCUCUGGGCAAUAACUGACGCUGAGGAGCGAAAGCAUGGGGAGCGAACAGG
rnacentral:rRNA from 1 species